rnacentral:rRNA from 1 species
CCUACGGGAGUCAGCAGUGAGGAAUAUUGGUCAAUGGGCGGGAGCCUGAACCAGCCAAGUAGCGUGAAGGAUGACUGCCCUAUGGGUUGUAAACUUCUUUUAUAUGGGAAUAAAAUGUUCCACGUGUGGGAUUUUGUAUGUACCAUAUGAAUAAGGAUCGGCUAACUCCGUGCCAGCAGCCGCGGUAAUACGGAGGAUACGAGCGUUAUCCGGAUUUAUUGGGUUUAAAGGGAGCGUAGGUGGAUUGUUAAGUCAGUUGUGAAAGUUUGCGGCUCAACCGUAAAAUUGCAGUUGAAACUGGCAGUCUUGAGUACAGUAGAGGUGGGCGGAAUUCGUGGUGUAGCGGUGAAAUGCUUAGAUAUCACGAAGAACUCCGAUUGCGAAGGCAGCUCACUGGACUGCAACUGACACUGAGGCUCGAAAGUGUGGGUAUCAAACAGGAUUAGAUACCCUUGUAGUC